rnacentral:snoRNA from 1 species
UCCAGCUGUAGGGAACUGCCUAGGUUGCAUUGUACCAAAGCAAGUGUCACACUGCUGGGAUAAAAGCAACCAAUAGCUGGUGGGCAUU